UACGUAGGGUGCGAGCGUUAAUCGGAAUUACUGGGCGUAAAGCGUGCGCAGGCGGUUGUGUAAGACAGAUGUGAAAUCCCCGGGCUCAACCUGGGAACUGCAUUUGUCGACUGCACGGCUCGAGUGCGGCAGAGGGGGAUGGAAUUCCGCGUGUAGCAGUGAAAUGCGUAGAUAUGCGGAGGAACACCGAUGGCGAAGGCAAUCCCCUGGGCCUGCACUGACGCUCAUGCACGAAAGCGUGGGGAGCAAACAGG
rnacentral:rRNA from 1 species